AUUUAAAUAGCUUAUAAUUAGAGCAUAACAUUGAAGAUGUUAGGGGGAUUAAGAUAAUCUUUGAAUA
rnacentral:tRNA from 1 species